GAGGUCAAAGUGGUGGGCAUGGGCCCCGUCAUAGAUGUGGACAUCAGAGAGAGGGAGGCAGACGGCAGGGAACUGCUAUGUCUAAUAAAGUCCUGGCCAUCGUCGUUGACCAUGUGGUAAACAGCGGCUUUACCAUGGUAGAGGCUGACACAUUAGCUCACCCCAAUCUGAAAAGAUCAACUGUCAAUUCCAUCAUGAGAACAUUUCGCCAAGUAAAAUGAAUUGACAGAAGACCAACAACAAUCGCCCACCUUUUGAAGGGGCACCAGGUGUCUAUGAAAAGUAUUUACCUGGUGCCUUUUGAGAGAAACAACGACCGGGUGAAACAACUGUGGGCCGAGUAUGUUCCGAUGAAGCGGACUUCAACCUGGCCAAAACUUGGCGCCGUAGGCGGAACCUCAUCGGCUAAUGGGCGAUCAUCCAAGUGCCUGGACAACGUGGGGGAAACAUCUCCAUGUGCACAGCUAUCUCUGAAGAUGGUGUGGUAGGACGUAGGCCAUUACUUGGAUCCUACAAUGCUGCACACCUCAUUGUGUUUCUCAUUUAACUUGAACAGGCUUGUCAAGGUAAAGGGGUCACCUAUGUCAUUGUGUGGGACAAUGUCAGGUUCCACCAUGCAAAGGUGGUUCAGGCAUGGUUUCGGGCCCAUCACUGAUUCGUGACCCUGUACCUGCCCCCAUACUCUCCUUUCCUCAACCCUAUUGAGGAUUUUUUUUCAGCAUGGAGUUGGGAGGUGUACAAUCACCAUCCCCAUGAGCAUGACACUCUCCUUUUGGCCAUGGAUGAGGCAUGCAACAACACCAAUGUCAAGCUUGGACUCGCCAGGCCGAAAGGUUUUUCCCACGGUGCAUGAAAAAUGAGGACAUUCACUGUGAUGUGGAUGAGAAUUUAUGGGCAAAUGCUCAAGACAGGCUUGAUGCAAAUUAAUGCGUGCUAAACGUUGUAUAUUUUAAUUUCUUACAUUUGAUUACAGACAGUACACCUACAGUAUGUUGCAAUUAUAACUGAAAAUAAAACGGGGUUUUUUUUUGGCAUUAAAGAUUGUCAAGGAUGUCUUCAUUGAUCACACCUUUUUAAUUUCACAUUGGAUAAAUAUUAUGUUAAUGAUAGAUUUUCCGUUAAUUUUGUUGGGUAAUGUAAGUAUAUUGCCUAUGUGAAAACUGUGUAAUCUACUGUAAUUUACAGUACUCUAGCAUAUUACG